AUACAUGCAAGUCGAGCGGACAGAUGGGAGCUUGCUCCCUGAUGUUAGCGGCGGACGGGUGAGUAACACGUGGGUAACCUGCCUGUAAGACUGGGAUAACUCCGGGAAACCGGGGCUAAUACCGGAUGGUUGUUUGAACCGCAUGGUUCAAACAUAAAAGGUGGCUUCGGCUACCACUUACAGAUGGACCCGCGGCGCAUUAGCUAGUUGGUGAGGUAACGGCUCACCAAGGCAACGAUGCGUAGCCGACCUGAGAGGGUGAUCGGCCACACUGGGACUGAGACACGGCCCAGACUCCUACGGGAGGCAGCAGUAGGGAAUCUUCCGCAAUGGACGAAAGUCUGACGGAGCAACGCCGCGUGAGUGAUGAAGGUUUUCGGAUCGUAAAGCUCUGUUGUUAGGGAAGAACAAGUACCGUUCGAAUAGGGCGGUACCUUGACGGUACCUAACCAGAAAGCCACGGCUAACUACGUGCCAGCAGCCGCGGUAAUACGUAGGUGGCAAGCGUUGUCCGGAAUUAUUGGGCGUAAAGGGCUCGCAGGCGGUUUCUUAAGUCUGAUGUGAAAGCCCCCGGCUCAACCGGGGAGGGUCAUUGGAGACUGGGGAACUUGAGUG
rnacentral:rRNA from 1 species